UACGUAGGGACCGAGCGUUGUCCGGAAUCAUUGGGCGUAAAGAGCGUGUAGGCGGCUCGCUAAGUCUUGCGUGAAAUCUCGGGGGCUCAACCCCGAGCGGUCGUGAGAAACUGGCGGGCUAGAGUGCGGGAGAGGAGAGUGGAAUUCCUGGUGUAGCGGUGAAAUGCGCAGAUAUCAGGAAGAACACCCCGUGGCGAAGGCGGCUCUCUGGGCCAUUACUGACGCUGAGGAGCGAAAGCGUGGGGAGCGAACAGG
rnacentral:rRNA from 1 species